GUUGUCGUGGCCGAGUGGUUAAGGCGAUGGACUAGAAAUGUUUUGGGAUCUUCCCGCGCAGGUUCGAAUCCUGCUGACAUCG
rnacentral:tRNA from 1 species